rnacentral:rRNA from 1 species
GACGAACGCUGGCGGCGUGCUUAACACAUGCAAGUCGAACGGAAAGGCCCUGCUUUUGUGGGGUGCUCGAGUGGCGAACGGGUGAGUAACACGUGAGUAACCUGCCCUUGACUUUGGGAUAACUUCAGGAAACUGGGGCUAAUACCGGCUAGGAGCUCCUGCUGCAUGGUGGGGGUUGGAAAGUUUCGGCGGUUGGGGAUGGACUCGCGGCUUAUCAGCUUGUUGGUGGGGUAGUGGCUUACCAAGGCUUUGACGGGUAGCCGGCCUGAGAGGGUGACCGGCCACAUUGGGACGGAGAUACGGCCCAGACUCCAACGGGAGGCAGCAGUGGGGAAUAUUGCACAGUGGGCGGAAGCCUGAUGCAGCAACGCCGCGUGCGGGAUGACGGCCUUCGGGUUGUAAACCGCUUUCGCCUGUGACGAAGCGUGAGUGACGGUAAUGGGUAAAGAAGCACCGGCUAACUACGUG